UACAGAGGUGGCAAGCGUUGUUCGGAAUUACUGGGCGUAAAGGGCGCGUAGGCGGCUUGGUCAGUCCCGCGUGAAAUCCCUCGGCUCAACUGAGGAACUGCACGGGAAACUGCCUGGCUUGAGUUCGGGAGAGGGAAGCGGAAUUCCACGUGUAGCGGUGAAAUGCGUAGAGAUGUGGAGGAACACCAGUGGCGAAGGCGACUCUUUGGCCUGUAACUGACACUGAGGCGCGAAAGCGUGGGGAGCGAACAGG
rnacentral:rRNA from 1 species